rnacentral:lncRNA from 1 species
UACCCAUGGAAACGAUCAGGGAUCAAUGCCAGAAGCAUUACCUAAACCACCAACAGGGACAACGAUGAGAACGACAGCGACGAUGGCAGCGGUGGUGAGCAAAGAUGGGAAGACUGACGAUGGUGAUGGCAAUGAGCAAAAAUGGGAAGAUCGACAAUGGUGAUGGAGGAAGAAGAGCAGACCUCGAAAGAAGAUGAAAAUCAAUGAUGACGAUGGCG